CCGCCUUUCUCCGCUGGCACCGGCGCUGCUCUCUGCUCCUCUCCGGCGAUGGCGUUCACGUUCGCGGCCUUCUGCUACAUGCUGGCGCUGCUGCUCACCGCCGCACUCAUCUUUUUCGCCAUCUGGCACAUUAUAGCAUUUGAUGAGCUGAAGACUGAUUACAAGAAUCCCAUAGACCAGUGUAAUACCCUGAAUCCUCUUGUACUUCCAGAGUACCUCAUCCAUGCUUUCUUCUGUGCCAUGUUUCUUUGUGCAGUAGAGUGGCUUACACUGGGUCUCAAUAUGCCCCUCUUGGCAUAUCAUAUUUGGAGGUAUAUGAGUAGGCCAGUGAUGAGUGGACCAGGACUCUAUGACCGUACAACCAUCAUGAAUGCAGAUAUUCUAGCAUAUUGUCAGAAAGAAGGAUGGUGCAAAUUAGCUUUUUAUCUUCUAGCAUUUUUUUACUACCUAUAUGGCAUGAUCUAUGUUUUGGUGAGCUCUUAGAACAACACACAGAAGACUCGGUCCAGUUAAGUGCAUGCAAAAAGCCACCAGAUGAAGGGAUUCUACCCAGCAAGAUCCUGUUUCCAAGAGUAGCCUAUGGAAUCUGAUCAGUUACUUUAAAAAAAUGACUCCUUAUUUUUUAAAUGCUUCCACAUUUUUUGCUUGUGGAAAGACUGUUUUCAUAUGUUAUACUCAGAUAAAGAAUUUAAAUGGAAUUACAUAUAAAUUAAUAUAAAAUGAUUACCUCCGGUAUUGACAGGUUGGAACUUGCACUCCUUAAGGAACAGCCAUAAUCCUCUGAAUGAUUGCAUUAAUUACUGAUUGUCCUUAGUCCACUGGAAGCUUUUGUUUAUAGGAAUUGGUAGGGCUCAUUUUGGUUUUAUUGAAACGACAUCUAAUUAUAAAUUAG